GAUGAACGCUAGCGGCAGGCUUAACACAUGCAAGUCGAGGGGUAUCACGCUUUCGGGCGUGAGAGACCGGCGCACGGGUGCGUAACGCGUAUACAAUCUACCUUUUACAGAGGGAUAGCCCAGAGAAAUUUGGAUUAAUACCUCAUAGUAUUUUCGAAUCGCAUGAUUUGAUUAUUAAAGUUCCAACGGUAAAAGAUGAGUAUGCGUCCCAUUAGCUAGAUGGUAAGGUAACGGCUUACCAUGGCAACGAUGGGUAGGGGUCCUGAGAGGGAGAUCCCCCACACUGGUACUGAGACACGGACCAGACUCCUACGGGAGGCAGCAGUGAGGAAUAUUGGACAAUGGGCGCAAGCCUGAUCCAGCCAUGCCGCGUGCAGGAAGACGGUCCUAUGGAUUGUAAACUGCUUUUAUACAGGAAGAAACACCUCUACGUGUAGAGACUUGACGGUACUGUAUGAAUAAGGAUCGGC
rnacentral:rRNA from 1 species